GACGAAGGGGGCUAGCGUUGUUCGGAAUUACUGGGCGUAAAGCGCGUGUAGGCGGUUGUUCAAGUCAGGUGUGAAAGCCUUGAGCUCAACUCAAGAAAUGCACUUGAUACUGGAUGACUAGAGGACCGGAGAGGAUAGUGGAAUUCCCAGUGUAGUGGUGAAAUACGUAGAGAUUGGGAAGAACACCAGAGGCGAAGGCGGCUACCUGGACAAUUGCUGACGCUCAGGCACGAAAGCGUGGGGAGCAAAAGGG
rnacentral:rRNA from 1 species